GACGUAGGGCGCGGAGCGUUGUCCGGAUUUAUUGGGCGUAAAGAGCUCGUAGGCGGCUUGUCGCGUCGAAUGUGAAAUCUCAGGGCUCAACUCUGACAUUGCAUUCGAUACGGGCAGGCUAGAGUUCGGUAGGGGAGACUGGAAUUCCCGGUGUAGAGGUGAAAUUCGUAGAUAUCGGGAGGAACACCGGUGGCGAAGGCGGCGACCUGGGUAGAUACGUGACGCUGAGGUGCGAAAGCGUGGGGAGCAAACAGG
rnacentral:rRNA from 1 species